AUUGAACGCUGGCGGCAGGCCUAACACAUGCAAGUCGAGCGGAUGAAGGGAGCUUGCUCCUGGAUUCAGCGGCGGACGGGUGAGUAAUGCCUAGGAAUCUGCCUGGUAGUGGGGGAUAACGUCCGGAAACGGGCGCUAAUACCGCAUACGUCCUGAGGGAGAAAGGGGGGGAUCUUCGGACCUCACGCUAUCAGAUGAGCCUAGGUCGGAUUAGCUAGUUGGUGGGGUAAAGGCCUACCAAGGCGACGAUCCGUAACUGGUCUGAGAGGAUGAUCAGUCACACUGGAACUGAGACACGGUCCAGACUCCUACGGGAGGCAGCAGUGGGGAAUAUUGGACAAUGGGCGAAAGCCUGAUCCAGCCAUGCCGCGUGUGUGAAGAAGGUCUUCGGAUUGUAAAGCACUUUAAGUUGGGAGGAAGAGCAGUAAGUUAAUACCUUGCUGUUUUGACGUUACCAACAGAAUAAGCACCGGCUAACUUCGUG
rnacentral:rRNA from 1 species